UGGGGUAAAGUAUACUGUACAUCUUAGUUACAUUGAGAAGGGCCUAUAACAAGGUAUCCCAU
rnacentral:tRNA from 1 species